UUCCUCUAAGGGUCGCGCCUGGAGAGUUUCCAGUACGUAACCAGUCUCGGCUAUGGGAGGGAGAGUCAAGCAGAGGCAAACUCAUUCCAUUCCUAGCUUGGGCAGUGGCUAGCGAGUGGAAGGCAAUCUGCUAUAAGU